rnacentral:rRNA from 1 species
GACGAACGCUGGCGGCAUGCCUAAUACAUGCAAGUCGAACGCUGAAGCACUCUGCUUGCAGAGUGCGGAUGAGUGGCGAACGGGUGAGUAACACGUGGGAAAUCUGCCUAUAAGAGGGGGAUAACAUUCGGAAACGGAUGCUAAUACCGCAUAUAUUCUUGGACCGCCUGGUCCUUGAAAGAAAGACGGCUUUGCUGUCGCUUAUAGAUGAUCCCGCGGCGUAUUAGUUAGUUGGUGGGGUAAAGGCCUACCAAGACAAUGAUACGUAGCCGACCUGAGAGGGUGAUCGGCCACACUGGGACUGAGACACGGCCCAGACUCCUACGGGAGGCAGCAGUAGGGAAUCUUCCACAAUGGGCGAAAGCCUGAUGGAGCAAUGUCGCGUGAAUGAAGAAGGUCUUCGGAUCGUAAAGUUCUGUUAUUAGAGAAGAACAAGUCAAGGAGUAACUGUCUUGACUUUGACGGUACCUAACCAGAAAGUCACGGCUAACUACGUG